rnacentral:rRNA from 1 species
GACGAACGCUGGCGGCGUGCUUAACACAUGCAAGUCGAACGGUGAAGCGCCUUCCUUUUUGGUGGGUGUGGAUGAGUGGCGAACGGGUGAGUAACACGUGAGUAACCUGCCCCCUUCUUCUGGAUAACCGCAUGAAAGUGUGGCUAAUACGGGAUAUUCUGGGUCUGUCGCAUGAUGGGUCUGGGACAGAUAUUGUUUCGGUGGGGGAUGGGCUCGCGGCCUAUCAGCUUGUUGGUGGGGUGAUGGCCUACCACGGCGGUGACGGGUAGCCGGCCUGGGAGGGUGGACGGUCACACUGGGACUGAGGCACGGCCCAGACUCCGACGGGAGGCAGCAGUGGGGAAUAUGGCACAGUGGGCGCAAGCCUGAUGCAGCGACGCCGCGUGAGGGAUGGAGGCCUGCGGGUUGUGAACCUCUUUCGCCAGUGAAGCAGGCCUGCCUCGUUUGUGGGUGGGUUGACGGUAGCUGGAUAAGAAGCGCCGGCUAACUACGUG